UGAGGAAUAUUGGGCAAUGCCCGAAAGGGUGACCCAGCAACGCCGCGUGGAGGAUGAAGGUCGUUAGAUUGUAAACUCCUGUUGAAGAGGACGAAAAAUCCCGAUAGACUCGGGACUUGACUGUACUCUUAGAGGAAGCCCCGGCUAACUACGUGCCAGCAGCCGCGGUAAUACGUAGGGGGCAAGCGUUGUCCGGAUUUACUGGGUGUAAAGGGCGCGCAGGCGGGUUAGCAAGUCAGAGGUGAAAUCCUACAGCUUAACUGUAGAACUGCCUUUGAAACUGUUAAUCUUGAGUGCGGAAGAGAGAGACGGAAUUCCAGGUGUAGCGGUGAAAUGCGUAGAUAUCUGGAAGAACACCAGUAGCGAAGGCGGUCUCUUGGUCCGUUACUGACGCUCAGGCGCGAA
rnacentral:rRNA from 1 species